rnacentral:lncRNA from 1 species
AACAAACUCCAUAAGAAGCACUCACAGAUAAUAGCACAGAAGUAGAAGAGUUUGGCAGGUUACCCUGGGACCAGGCUUCUUACAAGAUCAAGUUUUCACUCUGCAGAUCUGCCUUUUUCUCAGAGUCCAGAAUGGUCCAGUGGUGGAGCUCUAUCAUUCCCAACUUGGAUUUAUUCCUUCCCUGAUUCUGCAGCUCCAACCACUGGCCACAACUACAGUUUCUGUAGUCAGAAGAGUGGACUGGAGCCAUCUGCCCAUUAACAUAACCCAAUGACUAGAAACAUCUGUCUUAGGCCUGGCUCUGAGUGGAAGUAAGUUUGCG